rnacentral:rRNA from 1 species
UACGGAGGGUGCGAGCGUCGUCCGGAAUCACUGGGCGUAAAGGGCGCGUAGGUGGCGCGGGUAGUCGUCGGUGAAAGCUCAGGGCUCAACCCUGAGUCGGCCGGUGAUACUCCCGUACUCGAGUGUGGUAGAGGCCAAUGGAAUUCCGGGUGUAGCGGUGGAAUGCGUAGAGAUCCGGAAGAACACCGGUGGCGAAGGCGGUUGGCUGGGCCACAACUGACACUGAUGCGCGACAGCGUGGGGAGCAAACAGG